AGAGGCCCAAGUUGACAAACCCCGGCGUAAAGAGUGGUUAAGAAAAAUUUAAAACUAAAGCCGAAUGCCCUCAAAGCUGUUAUACGCACCCGAAGGUAAGAAGCCCAAUCACGAAAGUGGCUUUACAUUUCCCGAACCCACGAAAGCUAUGAAACAAACUGGGAUUAGAUACCCCACUAUGCCUAGCCUUAAACAUCGAUGGCAACUUACACCUGCCAUCCGCCUGGGAACUACGAGCAUUA
rnacentral:rRNA from 1 species